rnacentral:lncRNA from 10 species
AGCUCUCCCGUGUGAUAAUGAGCAGCAGUCGCAGUGGCGGCGUUCUUCACAGAGACCUGGCCAGGGCACCUCUUGGAAACCAACCCCCGGCGGGAUCAAAGAGGGUCAAACUUCAAGAGGAUGACUCCAGAUAAAGAAGCUGAGACUCGGAGGAGUUAAAUCACUUGCACAGGCCAGGCACAGUGGCUCAUGCCUGUAAUCCCAGCACUUUGGGAGGCCAAGGCAGGAGGAUCACCAGAGAUUAAGAGUUCAAGACCAGCCUGACCAAUAUGGUGAAACUCCGUCUCUACUAAAAAUACAAAAAUUAGCCAGGUGUGGUGGUAUGUGCCUGUAGUCCCAGCCAUUUGGGAGGCUGAGCUAGGAGAACUGCUUGAGCCCGGAAGGCAGAGGUUGCAGUGAACUGAGAUCAUGCCACUGCACUCCAGCCUGGGUGAUAGAAGCGAGACUCCAUCUCAAAAAAAAAUCACUUGCUCAGGGUCACACAGCAUGUGAGCGUCAGAGCUGGGACCCAUCUUUGAAGCCCAUGGUGGAUUUUCAACGUAGAAGUAGAGGGAAGGGCAGAAGAGGACAUAGAAAAAGGAAAGUAUUUAACUGUUAAUUUAUUUCUCUUUCAAUUUUUAUUUUAGGUUCAGCGGGUACAUGUGCAGGUUUGUUAUAUGGCUAUAUUGUGUGCCACUGAGGCUUGAUGUAUGAAUGA